AGAGUUUGAUCAUGGCUCAGAUUGAACGCUGGCGGCAGGCCUAACACAUGCAAGUCGAACGGUAACAGGAAGCAGCUUGCUGCUUCGCUGACGAGUGGCGGACGGGUGAGUAAUGUCUGGGAAACUGCCUGAUGGAGGGGGAUAACUACUGGAAACGGUAGCUAAUACCGCAUAAUGUCGCAAGACCAAAGAGGGGGACCUUCGGGCCUCUUGCCAUCGGAUGUGCCCAGAUGGGAUUAGCUUGUUGGUGGGGUAACGGCUCACCAAGGCGACGAUCCCUAGCUGGUCUGAGAGGAUGACCAGCCACACUGGAACUGAGACACGGUCCAGACUCCUACGGGAGGCAGCAGUGGGGAAUAUUGCACAAUGGGCGCAAGCCUGAUGCAGCCAUGCCGCGUGUAUGAAGAAGGCCUUCGGGUUGUAAAGUACUUUCAGCGGGGAGGAAGGGAGUAAAGUUAAUACCUUUGCUCAUUGACGUUAUCCGCAGAAGAAGCACCGGCUAACUCCGUGCCAGCAGCCGCGGUAAUACGGAGGGUGCAAGCGUUAAUCGGAAUUACUGGGCGUAAAGCGCACGCAGGCGGUUUGUUAAGUCAGAUGUGAAAUCCCCGGGCUCAACCUGGGAACUGCAUCUGAUACUGGCAAGCUUGAGUCUCGUAGAGGGGGGUAGAAUUCCAGGUGUAGCGGUGAAAUGCGUAGAGAUCUGGAGGAAUACCGGUGGCGAAGGCGGCCCCCUGGACGAAGACUGACGCUCAGGUGCGAAAGCGUGGGGAGCAAACAGGAUUAGAUACCCUGGUAGUCCACGCCGUAAACGAUGUCGACUUGGAGGUUGUGCCCUUGAGGCGUGGCUUCCGGAGCUAACGCGUUAAGUCGACCGCCUGGGGAGUACGGCCGCAAGGUUAAAACUCAAAUGAAUUGACGGGGGCCCGCACAAGCGGUGGAGCAUGUGGUUUAAUUCGAUGCAACGCGAAGAACCUUACCUGGUCUUGACAUCCACGGAAGUUUUCAGAGAUGAGAAUGUGCCUUCGGGAACCGUGAGACAGGUGCUGCAUGGCUGUCGUCAGCUCGUGUUGUGAAAUGUUGGGUUAAGUCCCGCAACGAGCGCAACCCUUAUCCUUUGUUGCCAGCGGUCCGGCCGGGAACUCAAAGGAGACUGCCAGUGAUAAACUGGAGGAAGGUGGGGAUGACGUCAAGUCAUCAUGGCCCUUACGACCAGGGCUACACACGUGCUACAAUGGCGCAUACAAAGAGAAGCGACCUCGCGAGAGCAAGCGGACCUCAUAAAGUGCGUCGUAGUCCGGAUUGGAGUCUGCAACUCGACUCCAUGAAGUCGGAAUCGCUAGUAAUCGUGGAUCAGAAUGCCACGGUGAAUACGUUCCCGGGCCUUGUACACACCGCCCGUCACACCAUGGGAGUGGGUUGCAAAAGAAGUAGGUAGCUUAACCUUCGGGAGGGCGCUUACCACUUUGUGAUUCAUGACUGGGGUGAAGUCGUAACAAGGUAACCGUAGGGGAACCUGCGGUUG
rnacentral:rRNA from 3 species